CAGCCGCCGCGGGAAUACGUAGGUGGCGAGCGUUGUCCGGAUUUAUUGGGCGUAAAGGGAGUGUAGGCGGUCUUUUAAGUCCGAUGUGAAAGCCCACGGCUCAACCGUGGAGGGUCAUUGGAAACUGGGAGACUUGAGUGCAGAAGAGGAGAGCGGAAUUCCAUGUGUAGCGGUGAAAUGCGUAGAUAUAUGGAGGAACACCAGUGGCGAAGGCGGCUCUCUGGUCUGUAACUGACGCUGAGGCUCGAAAGCGUGGGGAGCAAACAGGAUUAGAGACCCCAGUAGUCCCUGUCUCUUAUAC
rnacentral:rRNA from 1 species